rnacentral:rRNA from 1 species
CCAAUAGCGUAUAUUAAAGUUGUUGCAGUUAAAAAGCUCGUAGUUGAAUUUCGGGGUUAGUAGGUUGGUCAUGCCUCAGGUAUGUACUGGUCUCACUGAUUCCUCCUUCCUGAUGAGCCGUAAUGCCAUUAAUUUGGUGUUGCGGGGCAUCUGGACUGUUACUUUGAAAAAAUUAGAGUGUUUAAAGCAGGCUAACGCUUGAAUACAUUAGCAUGGAAUAAUGGAAUAGGACGUUCGAUCCUAUUUUGUUGGUUUCUAGGAUUGACGUAAUGAUUAAUAGGGAUAGUUGGGGGCAUUAGUAUUCAAUUGUCAGAGGUGAAAUUCUUGGAUUUAUUGAAGACUAACUACUGCGAAAGCAUUUGCCAAGGAUGUUUUCAUUAAUCAAGAACGAAAGUUAGGGGAUCGAAGACGAUCAGAUACCGUCGUAGUCUUAACCAUAAACUAUGCCGACUAGGGAUCGGAUGAUGUUAAUUUUUUAAUGACUCAUUCGGCGCCUUAC